GUGUCUCUUUGUGCCUCCUUCCAAUGACGGCGAUGAACAUCUUUUCAAUUUUCAAGAAUGAUGAUGUGCCGCGGGGAUGGACACUGAAGAUUGUUUGUAGUUUUUCCACUUGAUGUUUGUUCGGAUACCCAGCGAGUUCUUAGGAUCCCGCACAGGACGGUUCUUGACAACCUUUUAGCACACCUUUUGCUGUCACCAGCCCAAUACGAUCGUGUUGUUCAUGAGGAUGGCACAAUUCGUGUAACUGUCUCUUUCAACACCUCUACCUUGGAUCUUGGACCAAUCAGCGACAUCUCCGUGCCGGGACUUUAUUGCAUGGACGACGAGACUGCUGAGGAUACUGCUGCCAUAAAGGCUGUUAGAUACCUAGAGGAUAUGACCAACACGGUUGUCAGAGACUUAAACGUUGCUUCGUCCAAACGACAGCAGCACCAUGCCGAACACCUGCACGGGAGUUAAAGGAGUCACGCACCAAUAAGAAGGAGCUUGCUAGAGGUUGGCUUCUUGCUGUCAGAUAUAUGCACUACUUCUCUGUGCACGUUCGAAAUGCAGUUGCCGUGGGAUAUUCUGUUGGAGAUCUUCCAGACCAAAUGGAAGACAUGAGCGGCCGCUUGGAAGGGCAUCUGGAUAAAAGGUCGCGCUAUUAGAAGCCGGUUCUCCUACUGAGUAACUACCGCUAUGCCUAUCGAAAUGAUCUCGACUUCUUGUACAUAUGCUGCACUUUAUUUUGGAUGUGUCAUGUUGUCGUUCCUAUUAUGCUAAGACUUUAGGUACCUAUGCAAAUUUCUGGAUCGUCUUUAAGCCACCCCGUGCUGUCGCACACUCUAUGCUUAUGAUAUUUGGUGUUAAAUCUAUCGUGAAGUGUGCUUUCUAUGUUUGUAUACUGUUUGGUGGCUUCUCAUUUUGUGCACGUGAACAAUAUUUGUUUCCAACUGGUUCUUUGGUGAUUCUUCCUGUUAUAUAUGCAUCUCCCUUAAUUUUUUUUGAUAUGGCUUCAUUUCAUUCUGUUU